GGUAAACAACCGAGGCCGGCUGCGGGCACCUGCAAUCCCUGACCCCGACGCCCUCCCCGAGACCCUGGAGACGCGGCUCCGCCCCCACCGGUAAUUAGCAGAUUUUCAAGGCCGAGGUCCCCAAAGCCCAGCCCAGCUGGAGAGAUCAGCGCUGCGGUCCUGCCGCGCACUCCACCGCCAGCCUCUCGGGAGUCAAGGGAUCCGCCUUCAGGGUGAAUUGGGGUUCCACCAUGUCACCCUCGUGGAGCUUUCAUUAGCCUUAUUUGGGAUACCAAGGGAUAAGUGUCCCCUGAUUUUACAGAAAGAUCAAGAGCCAGUGAAUAGGGUUUCCCAGCAAGAGACAUGGAGCAGCGCACCUGCAGACGGUCCACGUGCUCGAGGCUGAAGACAGCUCGCCUCCGCGAGGGGCCCGCGUACAUUUCCCCCAGGAGGAGGGAAGGACCCAAUCAUUAUCCGGAGUCAAUGGGCCUUUGCACAGGCUGUUCCUGCUACCUGGAUGCCCGUCCCUUUAGCUCACUCCCUCACUUCCUGCCCAAAUGUCAUGUCCUUGAGAUCUCCCUAGAAACCCAGGACUACCUUCCCACCUUCCACACUCCCUCGCCCUCUUGCUAUGAGUUUCUCUAUGACAUGUAUGAAAUAUUUGUUUAUUGUC